GGGUGCCAUUGCCUUCUCCAUUGGGUAGAAUAAACGUGCGCUAUAACUGAAAGAACUAAAAUACAGACUCUAUGAACAGGGAUACUUAGGGAAGUCUGAAGUCAAGGGAGGAGAUCAAAACAAGGACAUUGGAAAAACUUCAAUUAGAAUAUCCUGUUGUCUCCUUAUAUGAGAAGUUGCAUGUGACUUUCUCCUAUAUAGAAGAAAAGCUUUUGGUGGGCAGGGACCACAUUGCACCAUCUUGGCAUGUUCUGCAUUGGUAAUAAAUAGGUUGUCAGCAAGGAUUUUUGAAUGAAGAAUUAGGUAAACAAGACAAGCAUGUGUUCACAUUAUGGGAAUAUACAUGGGAUUGACAAUAAAUCCAGAGACUUAAAAUCUUGAUUUUUAAUACAUUUUUUUAUUGAAAUACCAACUUACAAAAGUUGGUAUUUCUCCUAAUUCACAUAGUUUCCAUUUUCUAUAGAUGAGUGGCUCAAUCAGGGAGGCCGGUAAUGAUUAAGUAUAUAUUAUAGUUUUAGGCAUCUCUGUUGGAAAUUUCCACAUAAUUUUGUUUUUACUUUCAUGAACAUUUCAUGCUGAGUCCUGGAGUGUUUUACUGUUUUUGUAAUGAAAUUCCCUCCCAACUCCACAUGGUCCAUAUUCACUCAUACCACUCUUUCUUUCUUUGUGUUUCUUACUUUUAUUUUACUGAAUUAGGAAUGCAGCAUUUACCGAAAAAAAAAAAAAAAAAAAAGGACACAAAUGGUGCAGCCACCCAAGGACCAAGACGGUAGCCUCUUCAGUAAGCGGCAUUGCAAACCUCAAUAUAAAUUCCCCCUAAUUGAAAAAGCCAGAUUCCAGUUCUUUUAUCAAAAAGUGCGGGCAGCUGUUGUCAGGAGCCUUCAGAUAGAGAUCCCUUACCCCACUGCCAGCACAAGAGAGAGAGAAAAGACGGGAGAGAAACUUUUAGAAACUGCAGAGAAAACGCCACGUUCCUCCUGUUGAGUGGGGUCGUGAGCUUCGGGUGUCUGAAAAGGAACUGGGCAGAGUGGGGAAGGGAUGUUUUCUGGUCAACUUGACAAAUCCCAUACCAGAUAUUUUAUCUGCAUUUUUGCAAACUGUACAUUUCCAAGUAAAAGAUGAGACUUUCGCUUCUCCAGGCAGGCCCCUCUGGCUAAAAUGGCUGGAAGACAACAUGUUCUCUGGGAUGGAGCAGAGAUGGGGAGGAGGCAGGAGACUUUCUCCCAUCAUGAACACUUGCACAUGAUCUCCAAGAAGAUUUGUUUCCAGUCUUCUGACAGCUGUUCUGAUAAUCCCCUGUACAAAUCAUUCAUACAUUUCAGCUGCAAUAUAUGGGAAGGACUGAUGCUGAAGCUGAAACUCCAGUACUUUGGUCACUUG